UACAGAGGGUGCAAGCGUUAAUCGGAAUUACUGCGCGUAAAGCGCGCGUAGGUGGUUCGUUAAGUUGGAUGUGAAAGCCCCGGGCUCAACCUGGGAACUGCAUCCAAAACUGGCGAGCUAGAGUAUGGUGGAGGGUGGUGGAAUUUCCUGUGUAGCGGUGAAAUGCGUAGAUAUAGGAGGGAACACCAGUGGCGAAGGCGACCACCUGGACUGAUCCUGACACUGGGGUGCGAAAGCGUGGGGAGCAAACAGG
rnacentral:rRNA from 1 species